GACGAACGCUGGCGGCGUGCUUAACACAUGCAAGUCGAACGGAAAGGCCCUGCUUUUGUGGGGUGCUCGAGUGGCGAACGGGUGAGUAACACGUGAGUAACCUGCCCUUGACUUUGGGAUAACUUCAGGUAACUGGGGCUAAUACCGGAUAGGAGCUCCUGCUGCAUGGUGGGGGUUGGAAAGUUUCGGCGGUUGGGGAUGUACUCGCGGCUUAUCAGCUUGUUGGUGGGGUAGUGGCUUACCAAGGCUUUGACGGGUAGCCGGCCUGAGAGGGUGACCGGCCACAUGGGGACUGAGAUACGGCCCAGACUCCAACGGGAGGCAGCAGUGGGGAAUAUUGCACAAUGGGCGGAAGCCUGAUGCAGAAACGCCGCGUGCGGGAUGACGGCCUUCGGGUUGUAAACCGCUUUCGCCUGUGACGAAGCGUGAGUGACGGUAAUGUGUAAAGAAGCACCGGCUAACUACGUG
rnacentral:rRNA from 1 species